GGGACACGUGGUAUCCUGUCUGAAUAUGGGGGGACCAUCCUCCAAGGCUAAAUACUCCUGACUGACCGAUAGUGAACCAGUACCGUGAGGGAAAGGCGAAAAGAACCCCGGCGAGGGGAGUGAAAAAGAACCUGAAACCGUGUACGUACAAGCAGUGGGAGCCUCUUUAUGGGGUGACUGCGUACCUUUUGUAUAAUGGGUCAGCGACUUAUAUUCUGUAGCAAGGUUAACCGAAUAGGGGAGCCGAAGGGAAACCGAGUCUUAACUGGGCGUUAAGUUGCAGGGUAUAGACCCGAAACCCGGUGAUCUAGCCAUGGGCAGGUUGAAGGUUGGGUAACACUAACUGGAGGACCGAACCGACUAAUGUUGAAAAAUUAGCGGAUGACUUGUGGCUGGGGGUGAAAGGCCAAUCAAACCGGGAGAUAGCUGGUUCUCCCCGAAAGCUAUUUAGGUAGCGCCUCGUGAAUUCAUCUCCGGGGGUAGAGCACUGUUUCGGCAAGGGGGUCAUCCCGACUUACCAACCCGAUGCAAACUGCGAAUACCGGAGAAUGUUAUCACGGGAGACACACGGCGGGUGCUAACGUCCGUCGUGAAGAGGGAAACAACCCAGACCGCCAGCUAAGGUCCCAAAGUCAUGGUUAAGUGGGAAACGAUGUGGGAAGGCCCAGACAGCCAGGAUGUUGGCUUAGAAGCAGCCAUCAUUUAAAGAAAGCGUAAUAGCUCACUGGUCGAGUCGGCCUGCGCGGAAGAUGUAACGGGGCUAAACCAUGCACCGAAGCUGCGGCAGCGACGCUUAUGCGUUGUUGGGUAGGGGAGCGUUCUGUAAGCCUGCGAAGGUGUACUGUGAGGUAUGCUGGAGGUAUCAGAAGUGCGAAUGCUGACAUAAGUAACGAUAAAGCGGGUGAAAAGCCCGCUCGCCGGAAGACCAAGGGUUCCUGUCCAACGUUAAUCGGGGCAGGGUGAGUCGACCCCUAAGGCGAGGCCGAAAGGCGUAGUCGAUGGGAAACAGGUUAAUAUUCCUGUACUUGGUGUUACUGCGAAGGGGGGACGGAGAAGGCUAUGUUGGCCGGGCGACGGUUGUCCCGGUUUAAGCGUGUAGGCUGGUUUUCCAGGCAAAUCCGGAAAAUCAAGGCUGAGGCGUGAUGACGAGGCACUACGGUGCUGAAGCGACAAAUGCCCUGCUUCCAGGAAAA
rnacentral:rRNA from 1 species